UCGGAUCAGGUAGGGAUACCCGCUGAACUUAAGCAUAUCAAUAAGCGGAGGAAAAGAAACCAACAGGGAUUGCUCUAGUAACGGCGAGUGAAGCAGCAAUAGCUCAAAUUUGAAAUCUGGCGUCUUCGACGUCCGAGUUGUAAUUUGUAGAGGAUGCUUCUGAGUAGCCACCGACCUAAGUUCCUUGGAACAGGACGUCAUAGAGGGUGAGAAUCCCGUAUGCGGUCGGAAAGGCGCUCUAUACGUAGCUCCUUCGACGAGUCGAGUUGUUUGGGAAUGCAGCUCUAAAUGGGAGGUAAAUUUCUUCUAAAGCUAAAUAUUGGCCAGAGACCGAUAGCGCACAAGUAGAGUGAUCGAAAGAUGAAAAGCACUUUGGAAAGAGAGUUAAAAAGCACGUGAAAUUGUUAAAAGGGAAGGGAUUGCAACCAGACUU
rnacentral:rRNA from 14 species